GUGGAUUGUAUACAUUUGAAUUAUGUUGCAGCUGCGCCAAAAUCUUAUCCUGAAGAGAGUACAAUUGGACAGAGAGCGGCCUGUCAUAAUGGGUCUCUAGACACCAAGGAAGAUAGACCAAGGAAGACCAAUUCCCCUCCUGCAAGGCCUGGUGGACGGGAGCAAACCAGACUUCUACGGGCCUCCAGAGGAUCAGUGGUUAUUGGUGGCAGCUUCUCAUCUGGUGGUGACAUUUCUGGUGUGGUUGGCAGAGGAGUGUUUGGCUCCAGCGUUGGGUCCAUUAAGCCAGAUGUUCCUGUGUCAGUGCAGCAGGAAGAACCUAUUGGCUGGUCGGCCUGUGAUCCUCCAGAAGGGUUGUAUGGACAUGCUUUGAUAGGGAACCAUCUAGACUUAGAUCACAUCCACAACACAGUACAGGUGCGUGAUAUAAUUUCAAAGUCCUUACAUUAGGGCUGUGCGAGAAGGUAUUUUUUGGUACCUUGGUGACAAUAAAGACAGCAUAAAAAGUUUGUUUUCUUCUAUG
rnacentral:lncRNA from 1 species